rnacentral:rRNA from 1 species
UGCAGUCGAACGCGAAAGCGGAGCAAUCCGCAAGUAGAGUGGCGAACGGGUGAGUAAUACAUCGGAACAUUUCCAGUAGCGGGGGAUAACCUGUCGAAAGAUAGGCUAAUACCGCAUACGCCCCACGGGGGAAAGCGGAGGACCGCAAGGCUUCGCACUAUUGGAGUGGCCGAUGUCGGAUUAGCUAGUUGGCGGGGUAACGGCCCACCAAGGCGACGAUCCGUAGCUGGUCUGAGAGGACGAUCAGCCACACUGGAACUGAGACACGGUCCAGACUCCUACGGGAGGCAGCAGUGGGGAAUUUUGGACAAUGGGCGCAAGCCUGAUCCAGCCAUGCCGCGUGAGUGAAGAAGGCCUUCGGGUUGUAAAGCUCUUUCGGCGGGGACGAAAUGGUUCGUGCUAAUACCACGGAUUGAUGACGGUACCCGAAGAAGAAGCACCGGCUAACUACGUGCCAGCAGCCGCGGUAAUACGUAGGGUGCAGGCGUUAAUCGGAAUUACUGGGCGUAAAGCGUGCGCAGGCGGUUUGUUAAGACAGAUGUGAAAUCCCCGGGCUUAACCUGGGAACUGCGUUUGUAACUGGCAAGCUAGAGUGUGGCAGAGGGGGGUGGAAUUCCAAGUGUAGCAGUGAAAUGCGUAGAUAUUUGGAGGAACACCGAUGGCGAAGGCAGCCCCCUGGGCUAACACUGACGCUCAUGCACGAAAGCGUGGGGAGCAAACAGGAUUAGAUACCCUGGUAGUCCACGCCCUAAACGAUGUCAACUGGUUGUCGGGGAAGCAAUUCCUUGGUAACGAAGCUAACGCGUGAAGUUGACCGCCUGGGGAGUACGGCCGCAAGGUUAAAACUCAAAGAAUUGACGGGGA